AGUGUUGAUAGAGGUGCGGGUUUCAAGAGUAACAGCCGGGAGAAGGAUGAGCUUCUGCGAAAGGCUGCGAAAGGGGAAAUCGCCGAAGCAAAACAAGGCUCAAUACUUGUUUUGCUGGUCUGACAUUGAAUAAAUGGCAGAUUGUCAGGAUGAAAAUUCUGGAGAGCUAUCUCACUG
rnacentral:ncRNA from 2 species